rnacentral:tRNA from 1 species
UCCUCGUUAGUAAUGAGUGGUCAGUAUCCCCGCCCUGUCACGCGGGAGGACCGGGGUUCAAUUCCCCGCACGGGGAGA